GAGAGCGGGCCGAGGAUGUGGGGUUAUCUCGUAAACGCUCCCUGCAAAACAAUAAGUGCCAAUGCUAAGCGCACUGACUUCGCCCUCGCUGCGUAAGCGAGCCCGAUAGUCCGUCAGACCGUGUGUGACCCCGCCACGGAUCCUGGCGUCAUUUAGGGGUCUUGCUGCGUGACGGCGUCUGGACGUCACGCGGGACUUUUCCCAGGCUGGGCUCGUCGACUUAGGUGUCUGUGACAAAGGUCGGAGCCGAGCAGAACGUCUGCACAGACUGCGCCCGGAGAAAACGCGGAGACCCAGCGUUGGACGGGGGUUCGAUUCCCCCCAGCUCCACGA
rnacentral:tmRNA from 1 species